GGGAGCGGGGCCAGAGAGGCCGGAAGUGCGGCGAGCCCUGGGCCGCGCUGGCCGUGCUGGCGGUGGGCCGCCUCGAUCCCUCUGCAGUCUUUCCCUUGAGGCUCCAAGACCAGCAGGCUCCAGAUGGACCCUGGGAAGGACAAAGAGGGGGUGCCCCAGCCCUCAGGGCCGCCAGCAAGGAAGAAAUUUGUGAUACCCCUCGACGAGGAUGAGGUCCCUCCUGGAGUGGCCAAGCCCUUAUUCAGAUCCACACAGAGCCUUCCUACUGUGGACACCUCGGCCCAGGCGGCCUCUCAGACCUACGCCGAAUAUGCCAUCUCACAGCCUCCGGGAGGGGCUGGGGCCACGUGCCCCACAGGGUCAGAGCCCCUGGCAGGAGAGACCCCCAACCAGGCCCUGAAACCCGGGGCAAAAUCCAACAGCAUCAUUGUGAGCCCUCGGCAGAGGGGCAAUCCCGUACUGAAGUUCGUGCGAAACGUGCCCUGGGAAUUUGGCGACGUAAUCCCCGACUAUGUGCUGGGCCAGAGCACCUGUGCUCUGUUCCUCAGCCUCCGCUACCACAACCUGCACCCAGACUAUAUCCAUGGGCGGCUGCAGAGCCUGGGGAAGAACUUCGCCUUGCGGGUCCUGCUCGUCCAGGUGGAUGUGAAAGAUCCCCAGCAGGCCCUCAAGGAGCUGGCUAAGAUGUGUAUCCUGGCCGACUGCACACUGAUCCUCGCCUGGAGGUGAGAUGAGGGCUUCCCUGCCUCAUUCAGGCUCUACCUGGGAUUGGUCCCUGUUCCCCCAUCCCACCCUGCCCAGCCCUUCCCUUCUUCCUGUGUGGGCCUGGUGCAGGCACUGCCUCUCUCUGGCCUUCAGUUUCCUCAUGUGUAAAACAAGGUCUUCAUUUUUUUUUGGAUACAGAUCCUCACUCUGUCCCCUAGGCUGAAGUGCAGUGGCACGAUCUCGGCUCUGCCUUGGGGGUUCAAGCAAUUCUCCUGCCUCAGCCUCCCAAGUAGCUGGGAUUACAGGUGUGCACCACCACACCCAGCUAUUUUUUUUGUAUU
rnacentral:sRNA from 1 species